rfam:Camelus ferus unplaced genomic scaffold scaffold976, whole genome shotgun sequence.
GAGGGUAUAGCUCAAGUGGUAGAGCACAUGUUUAGCAUGCAUGAGGUCCUGGGUUCAAUGCCUGGUACCUCCU